rnacentral:rRNA from 2 species
UCAUGGCUCAGGACGAACGCUGGCGGCGUGCCUAAUACAUGCAAGUCGAACGAACUCUGGUAUUGAUUGGUGCUUGCAUCAUGAUUUACAUUUGAGUGAGUGGCGAACUGGUGAGUAACACGUGGGAAACCUGCCCAGAAGCGGGGGAUAACACCUGGAAACAGAUGCUAAUACCGCAUAACAACUUGGACCGCAUGGUCCGAGUUUGAAAGAUGGCUUCGGCUAUCACUUUUGGAUGGUCCCGCGGCGUAUUAGCUAGAUGGUGGGGUAACGGCUCACCAUGGCAAUGAUACGUAGCCGACCUGAGAGGGUAAUCGGCCACAUUGGGACUGAGACACGGCCCAAACUCCUACGGGAGGCAGCAGUAGGGAAUCUUCCACAAUGGACGAAAGUCUGAUGGAGCAACGCCGCGUGAGUGAAGAAGGGUUUCGGCUCGUAAAACUCUGUUGUUAAAGAAGAACAUAUCUGAGAGUAACUGUUCAGGUAUUGACGGUAUUUAACCAGAAAGCCACGGCUAACUACGUGCCAGCAGCCGCGGUAAUACGUAGGUGGCAAGCGUUGUCCGGAUUUAUUGGGCGUAAAGCGAGCGCAGGCGGUUUUUUAAGUCUGAUGUGAAAGCCUUCGGCUCAACCGAAGAAGUGCAUCGGAAACUGGGAAACUUGAGUGCAGAAGAGGACAGUGGAACUCCAUGUGUAGCGGUGAAAUGCGUAGAUAUAUGGAAGAACACCAGUGGCGAAGGCGGCUGUCUGGUCUGUAACUGACGCUGAGGCUCGAAAGUAUGGGUAGCAAACAGGAUUAGAUACCCUGGUAGUCCAUACCGUAAACGAUGAAUGCUAAGUGUUGGAGGGUUUCCGCCCUUCAGUGCUGCAGCUAACGCAUUAAGCAUUCCGCCUGGGGAGUACGGCCGCAAGGCUGAAACUCAAAGGAAUUGACGGGGGCCCGCACAAGCGGUGGAGCAUGUGGUUUAAUUCGAAGCUACGCGAAGAACCUUACCAGGUCUUGACAUACUAUGCAAAUCUAAGAGAUUAGACGUUCCCUUCGGGGACAUGGAUACAGGUGGUGCAUGGUUGUCGUCAGCUCGUGUCGUGAGAUGUUGGGUUAAGUCCCGCAACGAGCGCAACCCUUAUUAUCAGUUGCCAGCAUUAAGUUGGGCACUCUGGUGAGACUGCCGGUGACAAACCGGAGGAAGGUGGGGAUGACGUCAAAUCAUCAUGCCCCUUAUGACCUGGGCUACACACGUGCUACAAUGGAUGGUACAACGAGUUGCGAACUCGCGAGAGUAAGCUAAUCUCUUAAAGCCAUUCUCAGUUCGGAUUGUAGGCUGCAACUCGCCUACAUGAAGUCGGAAUCGCUAGUAAUCGCGGAUCAGCAUGCCGCGGUGAAUACGUUCCCGGGCCUUGUACACACCGCCCGUCACACCAUGAGAGUUUGUAACACCCAAAGUCGGUGGGGUAACCUUUUAGGAACCAGCCGCCUAAGGUGGGACAGAUGAUUAGGGUGAAGUCGUAACAAGGUAGCCGUAGGAGAACCUGCGGUU